UCCCUUUCAAGCUUCGGCAGGGAUAUCAUUUGAUUUAUUGUGUCGCUUUGUUUGUGAGCAAUGUCGGAGUACGUCGGAUCUAAGACCCCGCACCCUAGUUCACUGCACCACAAAAAGCAAAUAGAGUCUUAAUCCGGGACUCUCGCAAACUUGGAGUCUUAACCCAAGAUUCUCCCAUUACCCGAGCAUGGAGUUAAUUCCACAGAUUUUCCUUUAAAUGCAUCAGAUCUAUCAAGAGGAACGAGCGAAAUUCGUUCAGGACCUCUCAUGGCUAUCUUUCCCUUACCAGUCAUUCCAUCUUCAUUUUUUAAAAUAUAAUUGCUAGUUUGCUUAUGUUUGGUAUAUCCCUGUUUUGGGAUUUUAGGAUAAACUUAGUUAAUGUAUCUUUUAUUUGAUCAUUUAGACUAUCCUAAUCAUUUAUUAUUAAUAAGGUAAUAUUUUCCAUCA